CAAAUAUUUAAAAAAAAGUGGUGACGGUGAAGCUGGAACUGUCAACGUAGAGCAAGUGACAGCUGAGCCUUCACAUCAUCAGCAGCAGCAGCAGCAGUAGCGAAUAUAAUCCACGGAGGUUUUAUAUCGAUAUGUACGCCGUUUUAAUCACUGUUCUGUCGUCUAAGAAGCUGGUAAACUUAUCAAAAGUAAGUAGUAAAUGAAAGAUUACGGUGUCUUUAGCGAAGGCUCCAUCAGGUAAAUACCUGACGCACAAUAAAUGUUACCAUUACAGUCAUCUCGUGGCGAUGGAGAGGGGGAUGCUUAAUCUCUCUCAGUCUAAAUUUGACACUGAACUAAGGCCAGCAGCAGCAGUCUAAAGAGCCACGGCUGUGUCUCCACCAACAGCACACAGGACAGAGCCAACAGCGACGGUUUCCAGACCUGCCGAGCCUGAUGACUCCUCUGGGAUUGUUGCUUCUGUGAAAGCCAGGCUGAAGGCCCCGCUGCCAGCCCCUUCUAGCUCCUCAGCUCAGAUGAUAUGUGGACUUCAGCAUGUGGAGCCAGGCUGUCGUCAUGUUGUGUUAAAUUGUGACAAGCACAGGGUACAACCCAACAUCCCAGCUGCUGUAGCUAUGGAGACCGAGGAUCACUGCCCUGCUGCUGUGGUGGCCACAGACUCUCAGGAGACCAGUGAAGAUCCAGUUGGAGUGGUGCUGAA